AGCUGCUGACCUAGUUACCCAUUGCACACUGGCAAACAGCAAGGAGGGAAAAACAGAGUCAAGCUUUUGCUUAAUGCUGUUUUCACUCGAGCUGUGGCAUAGCUUCGCGGGGAAACAGAUCCGUUUCUUUGGAUGUUUGGCCUGAGAAGAAGAGUUUCUGUUGUGCCGUCUUGUCUUGCUGGGGAGUGUUAGUGUCAGCUGCACAGAGAGAGUUACUCCCCAACAACUUCUAAGCUUCUCCCCAUCAACCUCCUCCAGCUGAUCCAGCAGGACACCAGACACUUUGCUUUUAUGGAAAGCUCUCUUCACAACAACGGACUGAGUGCUCCCUGAAUCUGCUGAAGGACCAGCACUGCUCUCAAUGACUGGUGCUUCCCCUCCUCUGCUGGUGUCAAAGCGGCUAGAGAAACCUUUCAGGAAAUCAGGACCAGGCUCUGGGUUGCAGGGUGCAGAGCACAAUUGGGACUUUGGCAUAUCUCAUCAGCCAGAGCCAGGAGAUCAGAUGAGAUGACUGGAUCUCCUCCAGAGGUGGCCAAACCGGACCAGAGGAGUGUGGUGUUACAGUGAGCUGCGACCGAGCACUAAGUGGAGGGGCGGCUGCCGAUGUUUCCACAGCAGGAGAUGUGUAGAGAAGAUAGGUGCUUCUCUUGUGUUAGCCACACAUGAAAACCCCAUGAUAAGUUUCCUAAGUUCCCACUUUGGUCACUGCAUAUCAGUUUAUAAAAGUGAGUAUGUCAGCAGGCAAUGUUCACAGACAGCUAUAGCUUGAGGGUAACAAACAGUUUGCAGACAGACAUUAAUGACCUUAUAGUACUGUAUCACCACAAUAGAGGACUGCUGGCUUACUUGUGGUUCCUAGGGUAUUUAAAAGCAGAAUUUUAGGCAGAGUCUUCUGUCACGGAUCGGCAGAAUCAUAAACCCACUUGCUAAGUACUGGGAAAGAUUAAACAGGUAUAUUCACAGGUAAGUGAAUAAAUGUAGAGUUAAAGCAAUCUGUGAUUGCAUUAAAGAUCUGGGAGAGGUGAUGAAGGUAUGCAGGCUUUUCCAAUCUGCACACACACACUGUCAUAUUAAGCUCAAUCAUAUAAGGCCUCAGAGUACAUGGUGAGAUCUGGCUGACAUGAUGACUUAGAAUCCACUUCAGUCUUAAAUAUUCAGCUGAUCUGCUAAAAUGUGCACAGCCAAAAGGAAGACAGAGACCAUAGGUGGAGCCACCCCUGAAGGAAGGUAAAACAUGUCCACAAGCACACGAACACUGACAGGAGAGAGCAAGAAAGAGAGAAAAGGAAGGCAUGUGUUUUUACAGCUGCAUUUAAUCAUUAGCAAUUCAUUUUAAACUCUCUGUUUCUGUCUCUCUCUCUCUCUCUCCUAUAAAUUGCCUUAUGUCCUGUCUGUGUUCCUUUCUCUUUUCUUGCACCUGCUAAUGCCAGAUAGCUGCUCCUUUCUAAUAUUGUAGGGUCUUUAUCUUAAAAUAUAAAGUGAGGUGACUGUUGUGACAACAAAACAGGGCUUUCUGGUCAUUCUUAUAGACCUAAUUUUUUCUAAAGCUCAAUUAUGCAUAUGCAACUCUUAAAAUUAGAACCCACGCUCAAAUGUAUACUUUUUCAGGAUUCAAAGACAUUGAACACUUGAUUAGUAACAAAUGAAAAACACAAUUAGUAAAAGUGGCUUUAAAACCAAGAAAUAGCCACUGAAACUGGACUAAUAAAGGGUGUAAUUCCUAACAAAUGAGGACCAAUGAUUAUACUGCUGUCAGUCUUUUCUGCCCUCUGGUGGUUAGUCUGCUGAAACACACAUGAAGAUUUCUUUGUGCUGUAUGGAUUUCACGAUGGUUCUGCAAUUAUCAUAUAUUUAUCCAGAUAAAUACUAGUUAGUUAAAAAACAAAGGAAAGACUACCAACCUUAUGAUAAGUACAUUUACUGUUUACCUCCUGAGCUACAGCUGUGAGACCAGCUUUAAUGCUCCUACACAGCAAUUCUCCAUUUCUCUGUGUGAGGGUUGAACAACAUUCUUCAUUCUCAGCACUGUCAAUUCAAUUCAAAUCUAUUUUAUUUAUAUAGCACCAAAUUAUAAAAACAGUCACCUCAAAGCACUUUAUGCUGUAAGGUAAAGAGCCUGCAAUAAUAAAGGAAGGAAUAGUAGGAAGAAACCUCUGGCAGAACCAGGCACAGGGAGAUCUGAUGAGCGUGAAUGGAUUUGUUCAUGGGAAUCAUCAUCCUGAAAAAGAUUACUGCCAUUAGAAUAGGAAUCUGUUACAGUAGGAUAAAGGGGGUCAGUAAGAACAACUUUGUAUGGUGGGAAUGUGCUAAGAUACUGGAGCAGAGCAGGCUGCAGCACAGAUUGUGCUUCUAGUGUAAAAUGAGUUCAAACUAGUCUUUGAGAAUCACAAGAGUUUCUAUUUCCAAGUCUGGAGGAGUUCGCUGAAUCCUUAAAACCCCUUUAAAUAAACAUUUAGUUUGUAACUUGUUUCAAUGCAGCAAAAAUCAAGACCUCAAAUAAAAAUUUAUUUUCUGUUGUUUGUGGGAUCUGGAUGUCAUAAUUAGAAAUAUGGUAUCUAACCAGAUGCUUACUUACCUUGGGCUCCAGUAACACUGUGAGGAAUGGUGGAGUUGUUUUUGACCAGGAAAUGUCAUUUAAUACUAAACAAAUAUGUUACCCUGUUAAAAGGUAGU